UUCCCUUUAGUUCAGUUGGUAGAACGGCGGACUGUUAAUUUGUGUGUCGCGGGUUCGAGUUCAGCAAGGGGAG
rnacentral:tRNA from 1 species